rnacentral:rRNA from 1 species
UACGUAGGGUGCAAGCGUUGUCCGGAAUUAUUGGGCGUAAAGAGCUCGUAGGCGGCUUGUCGCGUCGGCUGUGAAAACCUGGGGCUCAACCCCGGGACUGCAGCCGAUACGGGCAAGCUAGAAUUCGGUAGGGGAGACUGGAAUUCCUGGUGUAGCGGUGAAAUGCGCAGAUAUCAGGAGGAACACCGGUGGCGAAGGCGGGUCUCUGGGCCGUAACUGACGCUGAGGAGCGAAAGCGUGGGGAGCGAACAGG